AGCCAAGGAACAUAUUCUGCUUGAUCGUCAGGUGUGUAAUGGUUCCCUUCGUUUUUGUGGCUCAGGUUUGGGCGCCAAUGAUCAUUGACGUGCUUUCUCAAUUAAGUGCAUACAAUAAGUAAAUGAUCCAGAACUACUUGAACUAGUAGAAAUGGAGAUCCGUGCGUGGGCAGCUGAACUUUUACUAAUUUCCCGGGGACUAAUUGCCAUGUAUUUGAGGUUCUGCUUUGUCUUGCCUUACAGGGGACACAGGAAGAACUUGGGAGGAAGGUAUUUUAAACUAACGGAUGCUGUGAAUUAAUACUUUACUCAUACUGUGAGCCAGCUUGGCAAGCCUUUCUUGAUACCAAUACUGAGUCUGUGUGUUUAAGAAGAUUCAUAAGCUAUUAUAUAAUUUUUAUGUACCGUCCUCUUCUCUUAAAAAAAAAUCAUUAGCUAAUGCAGUAAUAUGCAUGUGUGUGGAAAUCAUGUUUAUGCUCUUCAAAGAUAAUGUAUAUUUGGGUAAGAGGAAGUCUUCUACCUCCUUUACAUUGCA